UGGUUCGCUUGUGCGAGGAAAGAGGGAACCUGGUGAAAAUCCAGGACAGUCCCGCUGCUGUGAGUUCCGUUGAAUGAAGGUGAUCAGGCCACUGUCGAUGUAUCUGGACGGGAAGGUGCCUUCAGGGAACAAGUCAGAAGACCUGCCGUUGGCUU
rnacentral:ncRNA from 1 species